rnacentral:misc_RNA from 1 species
GAUGAAGAACGUAGCGAAAUGCGAUAAGUAGUGUGAAUUGCAGAAUUCAGUGAAUCAUCGAAUCUUUGAACGCACAUUGCGCCCGCCAGCCAUUCUGGCGGGCAUGCCUGUCCGAGCGUCAUUUCAACCAUCAAGCCCCGUGCUUGUGUUGGGGAGCUGCGGGCCCUCCGGGGCGCGCAGGCCCUGAAAUGCAGUGGCGGGCUCGCUGACACACCGAGCGUAGUAGCAUAAUUCUCGCUCUGGGCGUGCUGCGGGUACCGGCCGUGAAACGACCACUCGAGAGAGAGGACACCCAAAGGUUGACCUCGGAUCAGGUAGGAAUACCCGCUGAACUUAAGCAUAUCAAUAAGCGGAGGA